CUGGUAAGAUCCCUGAAAGAUGAUCAGGUUGAUAGGUCCGGGGUGGAAGCGCGGCGACGCGUGGAGCUGACGGAUACUAAUCGAUCGAGGACUUAACCAAAUA
rnacentral:rRNA from 1 species